AGGAAUAUUCGUCAAUGGGGGAAACCCUGAACGAGCAAUGCCGCGUGAGUGAUGAAGGUCUUCGGAUUGUAAAACUCUUUAAGUGGGGACGAAGAAAGUGACUGUACCCACAGAAUAAGCCUCGGCUAACUACGUGCCAGCAGCCGCGGUAAUACGUAGGAGGCAAGCGUUAUCCGGAAUGACUGGGCGUAAAGGGUGCGUAGGUGGUUUGGCAAGUUAGUAGCGUAAUUCCGGGGCUCAACUUCGGAACUACUACUAAAACUGCUGGGCUUGAGUGCAGGAGGGGCAUAUGGAAUUCCUAGUGUAGCGGUGGAAUGCGUAGAUAUUAGGAGGAACACCAGUGGCGAAGGCGAUAUGCUGGACUGUAACUGACACUGAGGCACGAAAGCGUGGGGAGCAAACAGG
rnacentral:rRNA from 1 species